GAAGCCCCUUCCUGCACGGCCACCUGGGCCUGGCACCGCCCCCUUCCUGUCCCCUCCGUGUCCACCUGUCUCUCUCAAAUCCUCUGAAAGGAAGAGGAAGGAGGAUUCUGGGGCCUCGACAGCCUCCGCUUGGGUUUUACGAGGCGGCAGUGGUGCUGAAGCUGAAGCCUCUUAACCGCCCCGUCCCUGAACACUGUCGAGUGUCAGAAGCAGCAGAGCAUCCAUCCCGCCAGGGGGACAGCCGCCUUCUUCCCCCCACAAGGCUGUCUGGUGGCCUGUGCACCGGACACCCCCCAGGGAGGCCCCUCUCCAGCUGUGUUGGAAUAGGCCGCGUGAGCACCGGGUGGAAAUCCAGAGGCACUGGCGGAAGCAGGAGGAAAACCUCUCCCCACGCCUCUGCUCUGAGGUCCAGCUCCUUCCCAGGGCCACGGGCCCUCAGGAGGCCACAGCGCCGCUCUCCAUGUUUACUUGGACAGGCGCAGUUUCUGCAGCAGGGGCUGGCUUCCUUACCGUGGGUGGAUUAGAGUGGCAGUUUUGAAAGAUGCGUGUGUUGAGUGGGGGGUGGGAGAGUCUGAAUGAGAAAGUGGAGCAGGGAAAGUGCAGGCUCAGGGGGUGCCCUGGGCCAACCGGGGUGGUCCUGGGAACUGCAGUGAUGGUGCCAUUCGCACAUGGGCAUGUGUGCUCCCACACACACUCAUGCUCACGCUGGCUCAUAAACAUGCUCACACACGCACGCUCACACAUGCUGGUUCACACGCUCACUGGCUGACAAACAUGUUCACAUACACACGCUGACACACAUGCUGACUUGCACACUUCUCUAAAUGGGGAGCAGUCUUGUCACCCCGAGUUGGAGGUCAGGACUGAAGCACCCAGAGGCUGUGUGGGUGUCCACUUGGUGCAGCCAGCCUGGUGGAGUCCCAGGGGUCCUGCCCGUGGACGCUACUAUGUGGAGCGCCGACUGUGAGGGCCUCCGUGCUGACCCCAGGCGUUGGUGCAGGUCUGUGGGGUCUGUGCCUCGUCUAAGCCAGCGAGGACGUAGGUGACGCUCCCUAGGUGUCUCCUUGGAUUAGGGAUCUUCCGACAGGGCUGGAUUCCCAUGGAGCUCACUUACUAUGCAGCUGCUGUGGUCUCGGAGGACAGAAGGUACCUGUUGGCUUCAGAGCUUCUGCGAGGUUCUCUGGUUUGGGGAGGAGUGAGCAUCUCUGCCCUUAAACAGAAACACGUGGUCCCAGGAGAAGAGCCGGGAGCAGCCGGGCUGCCGUCUCAACCUCCAUUGAGAGGUCGGCUGUCUUAACUACUGCGCUGGAGACACGUUUUUAAAAAACAAAGCACAUUCUGGAUCAGAUUCUAAAAUAAUUGGCUUUGGGACAGUGAAGAGGUGAACGCGCUGCAGCCAGGUAUGCGGAGCUGGGCGAGGCCUCCUCCACGGGGCUGGGAGGGCGGCCCCUCCUUCUGGAAAGGGGUCAGGCCUGAGGCCGGCUGGAGAAUGUGCUCACCUGACGACUGCUCCUUGUGCCUGAGGGCUGGGCCGGUGGCAGAUUCUGGGGUGGGUGCCCUUUCCCUGCCUUCCCCUAUGUGAGCUGAUGCACGGCUCUGCACACCUGAGGGUCCAAGGUGGGCACUGGCCUCACACAAGCCAGGCGUGUGAAGUCAGGCACCCUGAGCCGGGCGAGGCCUCCUCCAGCAGGGCUGGGUGAGGCGGCGCUCCCUG